rnacentral:rRNA from 1 species
GACGAACGCUGGCGGCGUGCCUAAUACAUGCAAGUAGAACGCACAGUUUAUACCGUAGCUUGCUACACCAUAGACUGUGAGUUGCGAACGGGUGAGUAACGCGUAGGUAACCUGCCUGGUAGCGGGGGAUAACUAUUGGAAACGAUAGCUAAUACCGCAUAAUAUUAAUUAUUGCAUGAUAAUUGAUUGAAAGAUGCAACUGCAUCACUACCAGAUGGACCUGCGUUGUAUUAGCUAGUAGGUGAGGUAACGGCUCACCUAGGCGACGAUACAUAGCCGACCUGAGAGGGUGAUCGGCCACACUGGGACUGAGACACGGCCCAGACUCCUACGGGGGGCAGCAGUAGGGAAUCUUCGGCAAUGGACGGAAAUCUGACCGAGCAACGCCGCGGGAGUGAAGAAGGUUUUCGGAUCGUAAAGCUCUGUUGUAAGGGAAGAACGGGUGUGAGAGUGGAAAGUUCACACUGUGACGGUAUCUUAACAGAAAGGGACGGCUAACUACGUG